AUUGAACGCUGGCGGCAGGCCUAACACAUGCAAGUCGAGCGAGCGGCGGACGGGUGAGUAAUGUCUGGGAAACUGCCUGUUGGAGGGGGAUCACUACUGGAAACGGUAGCUAAUACCGCAUACCAUCAGAUGUGCCCAGACGGGAUUAGCUAGUAGGUGGGGUAACGGCUCACCUAGGCGACGAGCCCUAGCUGGGCUGAGAGGAUGACCAGCCACACUGGAACUGAGACACGGGCCAGACUCCUACGGGAGGCAGCAGUAGGGAAUAUUGCACAAUGGGCGAAAGCCUGAUGCAGCCAUGCCGAGUGUGUGAAGAAGGCCUUCGGGUUGUAAAGCACUUUCAGCGGGGAGGCGUUACCCGCAGAAGAAGCACCGGCUAACUCCGUGCCAGCAGCCGCGGUAAUUC
rnacentral:rRNA from 1 species